UACGUAGGGUGCGAGCGUUAAUCGGAAUUACUGGGCGUAAAGCGUGCGCAGGCGGCGCGUUAAGACAGGUGUGAAAGCCCCGAGCUUAACUUGGGAAUUGCGCUUGUGACUGGCGAGCUGGAGUGUGGCAGAGGGAGGUGGAAUUCCACGUGUAGCAGUGGAAUGCGUAGAGAUGUGGAGGAACACCGAUGGCGAAGGCAGCCUCCUGGGCCAGCACUGACGCUCAUGCACGAAAGCGUGGGGAGCAAACAGG
rnacentral:rRNA from 1 species